rnacentral:rRNA from 1 species
AACGAACGCUGGCGGCAUGCCUAACACAUGCAAGUCGAACGAAACCUUCGGGUCUAGUGGCGCACGGGUGCUUAACGCGUGGGAACCUGCCCUUAGGUUCGGAAUAACUCCCCGAAAGGGGUCCUAAUACCGGAUAAUGUCUUCGGACCAAAGAUUUAUCGCCUUUGGAUGGGCCCGCGUUGGAUUAGCUAGUUGGUAGGGUAAAAGCCUACCAAGGCGACGAUCCAUAGCUGGUCUGAGAGGAUGAUCAGCCACACUGGGACUGAGACACGGCCCAGACUCCGACGGGAGGCAGCAGUGGGGAAUAUUGGACAAGGGGCGAAAGCCUGAUCAAGCAAUGCCGCGUGAGUGAUGAAGGCCUUAGGGUUGUAAAGCUCUUUUACCCGGGAUGAUAAUGACAGUACCGGGAGAAGAAGCUCCGGCUAACUCCGUG